GAUGAACGCUGGCGGCGUGCCUAAUACAUGCAAGUCGAGCGAACGGACGAGAAGCUUGCUUCUCUGAUGUUAGCGGCGGACGGGUGAGUAACACGUGGAUAACCUACCUAUAAGACUGGGAUAACUUCGGGAAACCGGAGCUAAUACCGGCUAAUAUUUUGAACCGCAUGGUUCAAAAGUGAAAGACGGUCUUGCUUUCACUUAUAGAUGGAUCCGCGCUGCAUUAGCUAGUUGGUAAGGUAACGGCUUACCAAGGCAACGAUGCAUAGCCGACCUGAGAGGGUGAUCGGCCACACUGGAACUGAGACACGGUCCAGACUCCUACGGGAGGCAGCAGUAGGGAAUCUUCCGCAAUGGGCGAAAGCCUGACGGAGCAACGCCGCGUGAGUGAUGAAGGUCUUCGGAUCGUAAAACUCUGUUAUGAGGGAAGAACAUAUGUGUAAGUAACUGUGCACAUCUUGACGGUACCUAAUCAGAAAGCCACGGCUAACUACGUG
rnacentral:rRNA from 1 species